UUUUUGUGACUAGAGUACAGGCUGAAGGACCUGCAUCAAAAUUAUUACAGCCAGGAGAUAAAAUUAUUCAGGCUAAUGGAUAUAGCUUCAUCAGUAUUGAUCAUGGGCAAGCAGUAUCUUUGCUAAAGACUUUUCAGAACACAGUGGAACUUACUAUUGUUCGAGAGCUUUCUUAAACACUGUGGAGAAAGAGGAAAUUCUGUGUAAUUUUUGAAGGACUUGUGGAAAACUUAAUAUUUUGACUAUUUUUGUAUGCAAAACUUUUAAAACUAUGUACAGUAAUAAAAUAAUGAAUUUGUGGUUAUGGGGAAAAACCACUGUAAAGAAUAUAAAUGAAGCAGUUAUGGAAAUGCAUAUGGUGAUUAGAGCUAAAUUGUUUUAAAACAGUGUAGCAAUCAAGGAUCACUCCUCCAAGAACAAACCUGUGGUGUAUUUUGUACAGAUGGUAGGUUUAUUUUGUGGGUAAUUCAUAUACAUUAAAUAACUUUGUGUACAAGGAGCCUCCGUUGUAGCCAGUGGACAGAUGGCAGGGCUUUCUGUCCUAUAGCAAUUUUGUUGCCUUUAAUUUUUCAUUUAUUUUUAGAAUCUGUGUUGAAACCACUUCAGUAGAUAUUGGUAAGAAAUUUUAAAAGUUGGCUUUGCAAUGUGAGUAUUGUAUAGAUGAAUUGCUAGACUGAAAGUGGACUGAUUGGAUUAAA